GCCCGAGACCCCUGAGGCCGCCUUGGCUGCGGAGCCCGCGGUGCUGUCGCUUGUGGAUAGUUACUUCACUCACUGGUACAAAGCGGGUACUGUUAACAACUCACAUCAGUAAAACUCCAGAGUGUUGAUCCUUGAGUGGUUCCUCAUCACAUCCCCAUCUCUACUGGAUAUCCACUCCAUCUGAAGACCUUAAACUGAGGAUUCGUAGCAGUCUUCUAGGUGACACUGACUUAAGAAGUGGACAGAUUCCUCGCAAGUUUUUGCUGAGGAGGGUUUGAAGCUUGCUUCAAGUGUGCAAGUUUUCUCAAAACAGCUGAAAGAUGAUGAUAAGUUUAUGCUACUCCUGGAAAUAAACAAGCUUGUUCUUCUAUGCCACCAGCUCCAGACACUAACUAAGACACCUUUGCAGAAUCAAGUGUUUCUAAAGGUUGAUCAGAGUAUUACAAAGACAAGAGGCAUAAUGGCUAUUUUCAUCCCACUUCUCUCAUUUUGCUAUAAACUGCUGAAGAAGCUUCAAGUGGAAAACAAUCGAUGGAUCUCAGUUACAAAUAAAGAUUCUGUGGAUGGUAAAACUUGAGAAGUUCUUGCGGUCAGAUCUCUGGAACACCAUGUGGCAAAGCUGACAUUUUUAGAAAGCAAACGAUCCUGUAUAUUUCAGAAAUACAACAAUUUUGUAAAGAAAACAACCUGAAAUCUUGCUUUAUUUUCUGAUCAUGAAACUGAUUGUGAAGCUUUCUGACAACUAUAAAUGCCAUGGUAGUUGCUCUAUUUCUAAUUGCAGUGUGAUUUUAAAUGGGACAUUGCCAUGAAUAGUGUUCUUUAAAAGGCAAACCAAGUAUCCUUACUGCCUUCAUGACAAUUUAAUCCAAAGAAGCUAUUUUGAACAUAUGCUCACCUUUGGCACAUUUGACCCUAACUUCCUAUGAUUUUUAACUUUCAGCUUAUCAUCUGGGACACUGAUUUGCAGCAGAAGAGACACAGUAGUCUGGGUGAUGCAGGGUUUUCCUUAAACCUGUGGACUCUUCUUCAAUCCCUCUGUCCACUGAGUAUGACUGGGCCUCUGCUGUCCCCUCUGUCACAGAUCAUCCAUGCCAGGAGCACACGUCUGUUCUCUAGUAAGGGUUUCACAGAUCACAGGAAAUCUGUUGUGAUGCAUGUCCCUCCCCCACCCAAAAACACGGUCAUGGAGCUCACUCCACGGAAUCCUGGAGGAACUCACUAGGAGAUGGUUUUAGUUCUUGUUCUAGCAUAGCUGGCCUGGCUGCCCUGGAUAUUAGCUGCAAUCCUAAGCCUAUCUUACUGGCUUGAGAAGCAGUUUUUGUACUUCUCAGUAGUAACUGAUGGAACAGAAGAUAGAAGAGAGAGAACAAUUGAACUAUGCUCUUCAAAAUAAUUUCUGAGUAAGUAUACCUAUGUGCCUUUGGAAUAUUCUUUAAAUAAACGACUUUAGUCUUUUUAAUUUUAGGGUUUAAAGCUUUUGUUUUUGUGGGGUGGGUUUUGAUUGAAGGAUCUGGUUAUAAGUUCUGUCCUUAUGAUGUAGUAUAGUUAACUUGGUUUUGGGGGGCUUGUAUCCCGAUGCUUUGAAAUGUAUUUUGAAAUCCAACGGGACUUGUCAGUUGCCAAAUGGCAGUAGUUCUAUAAGCUCGUCUGAUGAUCAUUAUCUGGGUCAGCCAUCACAGUCAAUAGUCACAAGAUCCUGAAGAACCACAGUGCUACCAAUUAGGUAGUCAAUAUUUCAUUGAAGGAAACUUGAACUUACUGUAGGCCUUGGAGAGAAAAUGGGAUGCACUCUGCUUGGUUAUGACCUUUAUAAAAUAUUUCUUUAUAAAAAUCAUCAAACAUGAUUUU